GGGCAGAAGUCUGGGCCCUGCAUGCUGUCUUUGUUGGCGUGCGUGGAGCCUGCUCCGAUCAAGUCAGCCACCUUUGAUGUUCCUGGUUUCCAUGGCUUUGCCCAUCCUGGUAGAACUAUCCGCUGAAGGAGUGGGGAGUGGGGAAGCCCCAGAUGCUCACUGUUUUCGUACAAAGUGGUAAAAGAGACAAACAAGAAAAUACCAGAUAAUGAGUAGCAGCCGGAGAACUAAAAUAUGAUGAUGUGAUGAAGAGUGAGAGGUCACUUCUUUAGAUGGUUCUUAGGGGGGCCCCUUUUGUGGGGUAGUGACAUCUCUACUGAGAUCUGAAUGCCAGCUCAGAGCCAGCCACUUGGAAGACCAGACUAAGAACAUUCCAGGCAGAGGGAGGCCUGCAAGUGGCCCAAGGAUGCCGUGAGGAUGGAGAGAGUGGACGGAUGUCUCAAAAGUCAGCUCUAAAGUCGGAGUCAGAACAGGGGCUGCCGAUGCUCUGUCUCGCAGUCUACCUGGAGUGAUUCAACAUAGAAAUCAAUAAAACAAAUGCCACCA